AGUUUAAAGGAAGAAUCUGCGAAGGGAAUCAUCUCCUUUUCCUAUGCUUGGUUGACCCCAGGAGCAAGUUUCGUUAUGUUGGAACAGCAAAUUGUCUUCCAUCUUGAUGCUGGUUCACCUUUUGCCGCCCUCUCAAGUCACCGCCACGUAAGACCGGGAAAGAUCUCAGCUAGCGUGAUCAUCUUGUGAAAUUCAUCAAGACUGGUACCAGUAUCCAAGGGCAGUUGGAUGGCUUUCGAGAGAGUCUCCAGCUGUAUCUACUUGUUGUUGGGCUGAUGAGAAGUAGGGCCCAGUCUUGUUUUAUUGUAAUUGUCCAAUAUGCUCUACUCUAUAAGACCUGUCCAUUGUGUAUAGCGUUCUGCAAAACACUGUCCAUGAUAUA